rnacentral:rRNA from 1 species
CUACGGGAUGCAGCAGUGGGGAAUAUUGGACAAUGGGGGAAACCCUGAUCCAGCAAUGCCGCGUGUGUGAAGAAGGCCUGCGGGUUGUAAAGCACUUUCGGUUGGGAGGACUGCUUCUAGCACUAAUAUUGUUGGAAGUUGACGUUACCUUCAGAAGAAGCACCGGCUAACUCCGUGCCAGCAGCUGCGGUAAUACGGAGGGUGCAAGCGUUAAUCGGAAGUACUGGGCGGAAAGCGCGCGUAGGCGGCUAGAUCAGUCGGGUGUGAAAGCCCCGGGCUUAACCUGGGAACUGCAUCCGAUACUGUCUAGCUUGAGUACAGGAGAGGAGAGUGGAAUUCCACAUGUAGCGGUGAAAUGCGUAGAUAUGUGGAGGAACACCAAUGGCGAAGGCAGCUCUCUGGCCUGAUACUGACGCUGAGGUGCGAAAGCGUGGGGAGCAAACAGGAUUAGAUACCCGCGUAGUC